rnacentral:rRNA from 1 species
CAUUAGCUGCAGAAUAAGCACCGGCUAACUCUGUGCCAGCAGCCGCGGUAAUACAGAGGGUGCAAGCGUUAAUCGGAAUUACUGGGCGUAAAGCGAGCGUAGGUGGCUUGAUAAGUCAGAUGUGAAAUCCCCGGGCUUAACCUGGGAACUGCAUCUGAAACUGUUAGGCUAGAGUAGGUGAGAGGGAAGUAGAAUUUCAGGUGUAGCGGUGAAAUGCGUAGAGAUCUGAAGGAAUACCGAUGGCGAAGGCAGCUUCCUGGCAUCAUACUGACACUGAGGCUCGAAAGCGUGGGUAGCAAACAGGAUUAGAUACCCUGGUAGUCCACGCCGUAAACGAUGUCUACUAGUCGUUGGGUCCCUUGAGGACUUAGUGACGCAGCUAACGCAAUAAGUAGACCGCCUGGGGAGUACGGCCGCAAGGUUAAAACUCAAAUGAAUUGACGGGGGCCCGCACAAGCGGUGGAGCAUGUGGUUUAAUUCGAUGCAACGCGAAGAACCUUACCUGGUCUUGACAUAUCUAGAAUCCUGCAGAGAUGCGGGAGUGCCUUCGGGAAUUAGAAUACAGGUGCUGCAUGGCUGUCGUCAGCUCGUGUCGUGAGAUGUUGGGUUAAGUCCCGCAACGAGCGCAACCCUUGUCCUUAGUUACCAGCGGGUUAAGCCGGGAACUCUAAGGAUACUGCCAGUGACAAACUGGAGGAAGGCGGGGACGACGUCAAGUCAUCAUGGCCCUUACGACCAGGGCUACACACGUGCUACAAUGGUAGGUACAGAGGGCAGCUACACAGCGAUGUGAUGCGAAUCUCAAAAAGCCUAUCGUAGUCCAGAUUGGAGUCUGCAACUCGACUCCAUGAAGUAGGAAUCGCUAGUAAUCGCGGAUCAGAAUGCCGCGGUGAAUACGUUCCCGGGCCUUGUACACACCGCCCGUCACACCAUGGGAGUUGAUUGCACCAGAAGUGGAUAGCUUAACCUUCGGGGAGGCGUCACC